GGUGACACUAACGCAGAUCUGUUUAUCUUUCUUAUUUUGAAUAGGAUAUGGACCCUUCAUCACAGAGAGCAGUCGAGGAGGAAGUGGAGAGUCAUGCUCCACCUGCAGCAGCUGAGACUGGGGGCAUGAGAGAAUCUGCUCCGCCAGCUCAAGCAGAGCCUGCUCAGCCUCCACAGGCCAUGUUCCAACAAAUGGCCGACUUCUUUAGACAGAUGGCUGGGGUAAUGCCAGCACCACCACCACCACCACCACCAUGACCACCAUCGAAGUAGCAGUAGCAGUAGCAAUAGCACUAAUAACAAUAGCAGCAACAAAUCGGCGAUUGAUUGCUCAGAAUUCAAGUCCUUUGUGGAGAGGGUCGACUUGAACAAGCUACCAGAAGCGGAAGAUUCAGAUGUUGAGUGGGAAAGGAAUUAGAGGAACAAAACAAAGUCUCUUCCUUUUUUUCUUCUUCUCCUAGAGUGGAUGCGGCUAUGAUUAUAGUAGCUGCUAACAUGCGCCAGUGAGGUAUGUUAAGGUUAUGGCAGAUGAAAUGAUGCAGCCUUAAUUUAAAAAAAAAAAAAAAUUAUAUAUUCAUAGGUAUAGCUCUAUUUAACCAAACUUAAAAAAUUAUCAAUCUACAAAGCAUUAAUAAGCAUAGAA
rnacentral:misc_RNA from 1 species